rnacentral:tRNA from 1 species
AGAGACGUAGUGUAACGGAUAGCACGCCUGAGGUUUACGAAGUGGUGGCCAGCCAGCCCCAGGCAGUGGAGGUUCGAGUCCUCCCGUCUCUU